UAGCCUAGUGGUUAAGGCUAUGGAUUGCCAAUCCGGAGACGGCAGGUUCGAUUUCUGU
rnacentral:tRNA from 1 species